AUAAUGGUCUAUUCCACACCACUGCACUCCGAAUCGCAGUCAAUGUCUUGCCAAAAUCCAGGGGACGUCGCGAAGAGCCUUACGGAUCGGGGAUCGAUGGGUAUCCCCAAGAAAUCCUCGGUGCCUGC